UGAACCCAAAAAUGAACCUAAAAUCAUACCAUUUCAAGCCUAACUCUUGCUUGACUAGCCAAUCCAUUUUGACACACAUUCAAGGGAUUCAAAAACCAUACAAACACACAUAAACAUACCAAAUCAAAACAACCUAAAUCACCUAACCAAUAUGUCAUUCAAAGCACCACAAUAGCAUUAAUACAUCAUUUAUCUACACAUUCUAACAUUGCCUCAAUUCAUGCAUAAAGACCUAG
rnacentral:lncRNA from 1 species